UUGACGCUGAGGUUGGUACUUGUACCGACUGGAUGAGCAGCGAACGGGUGAGUAACGCGUGGGGAAUCUGCCUUUGAGCGGGGGACAACAUUUGGAAACGAAUGCUAAUACCGCAUAAAAACUUUAAACACAAGUUUUAAGUUUGAAAGAUGCAAUUGCAUCACUCAAAGAUGAUCCCGCGUUGUAUUAGCUAGUUGGUGAGGUAAAGGCUCACCAAGGCGAUGAUACAUAGCCGACCUGAGAGGGUGAUCGGCCACAUUGGGACUGAGACACGGCCCAAACUCCUACGGGAGGCAGCAGUAGGGAAUCUUCGGCAAUGGACGAAAGUCUGACCGAGCAACGCCGCGUGAGUGAAGAAGGUUUUCGGAUCGUAAAACUCUGUUGGUAGAGAANAACGUUGGUGAGAGUGGAAAGCUCAUCAAGUGACGGUAACUACCCAGAAGGGACGGCUAACUNCGUGCCAGCAGCCGCGGUAAUNCGUAGGUCCCGAGCGUUGUCCGGAUUAUUUGGGCGUAAAGCGAGCGCAGGUGGUUAUAAAGUCUGGUGUAAAAGGCAGUGGCUCANCC
rnacentral:rRNA from 1 species